rnacentral:rRNA from 1 species
UACGGAGGGUGCAAGCGUUGUCCGGAUUUAUUGGGUUUAAAGGGUGCGUAGGCGGCUUUAUAAGUCCGUGGUGAAAGCCAACAGCUCAACUGUUGAACUGCCAUGGAUACUGUAAGGCUUGAGUACAGACGAGGUAGGCGGAAUGGAUGGUGUAGCGGUGAAAUGCAUAGAUACCAUCCAGAACACCGAUUGCGUAGGCAGCUUACUAGGGUGUAACUGACGCUGAGGCACGAAAGCGUGGGGAGCGAACAGG